rnacentral:rRNA from 1 species
AUGAACGCUGGCGGCGUGCCUCAUACACGCAAGUCGCGCGAACAGACGAGGAGCUUGCUCCUCUGACGUUAGCGGCGGACGGGUGAGUAACACGUGGAUAACCUACCUAUAAGACUGGGAUAACUUCGGGAAACCGGAGCUAAUACCGGAUAAUAUAUUGAACCGCAUGGUUCAAUAGUGAAAGACGGUUUUGCUGUCACUUAUAGAUGGAUCCGCGCCGCAUUAGCUAGUUGGUAAGGUAACGGCUUACCAAGGCAACGAUGCGUAGCCGACCUGAGAGGGUGAUCGGCCACACUGGAACUGAGACACGGUCCAGACUCCUACGGGAGGCAGCAGUAGGGAAUCUUCCGCAAUGGGCGAAAGCCUGACGGAGCAACGCCGCGUGAGUGAUGAAGGUCUUCGGAUCGUAAAACUCUGUUAUUAGGGAAGAACAAAUGUGUAAGUAACUAUGCACGUCUUGACGGUACCUAAUCAGAAAGCCACGGCUAACUACGUG